AUGGACGUACUUCUUAGUGACUCUGAUUGGGACAGUUACAGUGAGACUGAUAGCAAUGAGAAUCAAGAGGGAAGCGACUAUUUCUAUGGUGGGCAUGCCAGCAGCCUAUUUUCUAGCCUUGAGGCAAGCAUUGGGAAAAUUGAUGACUUCCUCUCAUUCGAGAGCGGAUUUAUAUAUGGGGACAAAGUGUGCUCUGUAGGAGAUCCAUCUGGACAGAUGGGAAAAGUUGUUGGCAUUAAGAUGUCUGUUGAUUUGGAGACUGUGAAUGGAAAUGUAAUCAAAGAUGUAGACUCAAAGAAUCUGUCAAAGAUCCGUCCCAUUUCAAUGGGGGAUUUUGUUGUUUGUGGGCCCUGGCUUGGAAGGGUGGACAGAGUGGUUGACUGUGUAGCUAUCGUAUUUGACGAUGGCACAGAUUGUAUGGUGACUGUUGUGGAUCCAGAGAAGCUCAUACCCAUCUCCCCAAACAUACUUGAAGAUCCACAGUACCCAUAUUAUCCAGGACAAAGAGUACAGGUUAUGCUUUCAACUGUUUCCAAAUCAACUAGAUGGUUAUGCGGUAACUGGAGGGAAAAUCAAGACGGGGGAACUGUUUGUUCUUUGCAAGGAGGUGUAGUGUAUGUUGAUUGGCUUGCCUCUAUUCUCGUAGGUUGUGAUUCGAAUUUUCCUCCUCCUCCACGUCAGCUGGAUUUGAAAAAAUUGACUUUGGUGUCAUGUUUCUCUCAUGCCAAUUGGCAGCUUGGUGACUGGUGCAUGCUUGCAAAUGCUGAGAUUGAAGGUUUCUCAGAGCAGGCUUUUCAUAGAACUCAGCUCACCAACAAGCAAGAAAAUUCAGAAAGAGGAUUUAGGAGAAGAAAUCCCAAGUCAAAAAUUGAGGAAAUCUUUUUAAUCUCAAAGACAAAAACCAAAGUUGAUAAUCUGUGGCAAGAUGGCAGCCAGUCUUUGGAAGUGGAUUCACAGACAUUAGUUCCGGUCAGUGUUGUAAAUGAUCAUGAAUUUUGGCCUGAACAGUUUGUCCCUGAAAAGGGAACUUACGAUGAUCCAAACUUGCUCAGCAACCAACGGUGGGGUGUUGUGCGUGGUGUGGAUGCAAAGGAACGAACAGUAAAGAUGGGAUGGAAAACUAUUAGUGCUUCCGGAGCAAAUAAUUUAGAGGGAGAGCAGAUGGAGGAAGUUGUAAGUGCUUAUGAGCUUGUUGAGCUCCCGGAUUACUCCUAUUGUUUUGGAGAUUAUGUGUUCAGGAUGGUCCAGAAUCAGUUUGAUGAACAACCUGAUAAAAUCUAUCUGAGCACAAGGUUCAAUAUGACUGAGGAGGUGGCUCCGAAAGAGAAGAACUUUGGUGGGGAUCAAGAAAGGUUCACAGAUAACAGUUACCUACCUUGCAUUGGCAAUGUUUUGCGCUUCAUAGAUGGUGCGGUAGAAGUGGGAUGGGCAACUGGUAUUACUAGCAAGGUGGCCCCUCGUGAAAUUUUCCGGUUUGAUAAACGCGAAGGUUCAGCUGCAAUCACUGCAGAAGAGGACACUGAGGAAUUGAAUAUAGAGAUAAUUCCACAUGAAAAACAAAUUGAUAACGAGAAAGGAAAGGAUUCCUUGAAUUUAGAUAAUGUUGCUAAAGGUUGCAAACAGCAAACUAGCGAGUCCAGUUCCUAUUUCCUUCCUCAAGCUGCCAUUGGAUUUUUCUCAAGCAUUACUGUGAGUCUCUUUGGAUCUCAUGGUUACACAUCACUUUCAGGUCCUUCCCCAUCAGUCUGUACUUCUGAUGUUGGAAAGGAAUCUGGGUUCUGCCAUGAGAAAAGAAUAGUAGAAACUCGUGAUAUCUGCACUGAGCCACAUGCAAUCUCUGAGUCUGAUAUUUCUGGCAAUGAAAAUUUGAAUCAUGAAGGCAAAGACAUUGAGGGGAACAUAUAUCUUCCAUAUUUGAAAGAAAAGGAGAGUGCUAAUCAGUUCAGGCAGUUUGACAUGCUUGCUGAUUGUGCAGAUCACCAUUUUCAUGGUGUCAGCAAGGAGUUGGCAUUAUCUCAGGUGAAAAAGGGUUGGAUGAAGAAGGUUCAGCAAGAGUGGAGCAUCUUAGUGAAAGAUCGUCCUGAACAAAUCUAUGUCCGUGCCUUUGAGGAAAGGAUGGAUCUACUGAGGGCAGCCAUCGUUGGUGCACCAGGGACUCCAUAUCAUGAUGGGCUUUUCUUCUUUGACAUUUUUCUUCCACCAGGGUAUCCUCAUGACCCACCAACGGUACACUACAUUUCUGGUGGGCUACGUGUGAACCCGAACUUGUAUGAGUCUGGAAAGGUCUGCCUCAGCUUAACACGUGGACUGGUACGGGCAGUGAAGUUUGGAAUCCUGGGAGCUCCAACAUUCUUCAAGUUCUUCUCUCCCUUCAGGCCCUUGUGCUUAACGACAGGCCAUAUUUCAAUGAAGCUGGAUAUGAUCAGCAGGUGGGAAGAACUGAGGGAGAGAAAAACUCAGUGAGCUACAAUGAAAACGCAUUCCUUAUGACUUGCAAGACAAUGCUGUAUUCUCUCCAAAAUCCCCCUAUGCAUUUCAAAGGACUUGUGAUGGAAAACUUCACUCGGCGUUCUGAAAAUAUUCUAUUGGCUUGUAAGGCAUAUAUGAAGGGGGUUCCAAUAGGGUGUGCUGUUGAUUUUCAGAAAACCAAUGAUAAACACAGUAAGGGAAGCUCUACUGGGUUCAAGAUUAUGCUUGCUAAGCUCUUUCAGAAACUAGUGGAGUCAUUUACUGCCAAAGGAAUCGACUGCAGCCAGUUCAUCUAACCAGGGAAAUGAGACCGAUGCAAAAGGUGCAAGCUUGUAAUAUACAAAGUACAAAGUACUUGGGAUGAAUUCCUGCUGUGUAUAAAUAAAUCCAGUGUCGAUGUGUGUGUUGAGUGUAAGAUUGGUCGUGUGUGCCUCUGAAUGUGUGAUUGCUCUUUACCAGAUGAGAGAAAGCGAUUCCCACAGUUGUCGAUAUUGCAAUAAAAAUAAAUUGAAUUG